rnacentral:misc_RNA from 1 species
GAUGAAGAACGUAGCGAAAUGCGAUAAGUAGUGUGAAUUGCAGAAUUCAGUGAAUCAUCGAAUCUUUGAACGCACAUUGCGCCCCUUGGUAUUCCGAGGGGCAUGCCUGUUCGAGCGUCAUUUAAACCAAUCUAGCUUGCUAGGUCUUGGGCUUUCGCCUCUGGGCGGGCCUCAAAAUCAGUGGCGGUGCUGCCGGGCUUUAAGCGUAGUAAUCUUUCUCGCUAUAGGGUCCUGGUAGAGGCUUGCCAACAACUAUAAAUCUUUCAAAGGUUGACCUCGGAUCAGGUAGGGAUACCCGCUGAACUUAAGCAUAUCAAUAAGCGGAGGA